rnacentral:rRNA from 1 species
CCUUCGACGAGUCGAGUUGUUUGGGAAUGCAGCUCUAAAUGGGAGGUAAAUUUCUUCUAAAGCUAAAUACUGGCCAGAGACCGAUAGCGCACAAGUAGAGUGAUCGAAAGAUGAAAAGCACUUUGGAAAGAGAGUCAAAUAGCACGUGAAAUUGUUGAAAGGGAAGCGCUUGCAGCCAGACUUGC